rnacentral:rRNA from 1 species
GAUGAACGCUGGCGGCGUGCCUAACACAUGCAAGUCGAACGGAGUCCAGCCUUUAAGACCUUCGGGUCAAAGAGGGGAAGACUGAGUGGCGGACGGGUGAGUAACACGUGGGCAACCUGGCUCAUAGAGGGGGAUAACAGAGAGAAAUUUCUGCUAAUACCGCAUAAGCACACACUGCCGCAUGGCAGAGGGUGAAAAGAGAAUCGCUAUGAGAUGGACCCGCGUCUGAUUAGCCAGUUGGCAGGGUAAGAGCCUACCAAAGCGACGAUCAGUAGCCGAUCUGAGAGGAUGAACGGCAACAUUGGGACUGAGACACGGCCCAAACUCCUACGGGAGGCAGCAGUGGGGGAUAUUGCACAAUGGGGGGAACCCUGAUGCAGCGACGCCGCGUGAGUGAAGAAGUAUUUCGGUAUGUAAAGCUCUAUCAGCAGGGAAGAUAAUGACAGUACCUGAAGAAGAAGCCCCGGCUAACUACGUG